AGAGUUUGAUCCUGGCUCAGGAUGAACGCUAGCGGCAGGCCUAACACAUGCAAGUCGAGGGGUAGCAGGAAAAAGCUUGCUUUUUCGCUGACGACCGGCGCACGGGUGCGUAACGCGUAUGCAACCUACCUUUUACAGAGGGAUAGCCCAUGGAAACGUGGAUUAAUACCUCAUAAUAUUGCGACUACACCUGUAGAUGUAAUUAAAACUUCGGUGGUAAAAGAUGGGCAUGCGUAAGAUUAGCUAGUUGGUAAGGUAACGGCUUACCAAGGCAACGAUCUUUAGGGGUCCUGAGAGGAUGAUCCCCCACACUGGUACUGAGACACGGACCAGACUCCUACGGGAGGCAGCAGUGAGGAAUAUUGGUCAAUGGGCGAGAGCCUGAACCAGCCAUGCCGCGUGCAGGAAGACGGCCCUAUGGGUUGUAAACUGCUUUUAUAUAGGAAUAAACCCCCCGACGUGUCGGGGGCUGAAUGUACUAUACGAAUAAGGACCGGCUAACUCCGUGCCAGCAGCCGCGGUAAUACGGAGGGUCCAAGCGUUAUCCGGAAUUAUUGGGUUUAAAGGGUCCGCAGGCGGGAUAUUAAGUCAGUGGUGAAAUCCUACAGCUUAACUGUAGAACUGCCAUUGAUACUGAUAUUCUUGAGUAUGCAUGAAGUAGGCGGAAUGUGACAUGUAGCGGUGAAAUGCAUAGAUAUGUCACAGAACACCAAUUGCGAAGGCAGCUUACUAAAACAUAACUGACGCUGAUGGACGAAAGCGUGGGGAGCGAACAGGAUUAGAUACCCUGGUAGUCCACGCAGUAAACGAUGAUCACUAGAUAUUUGCGAUAUACGGUAAGUGUCUUAGCGAAAGCGAUAAGUGAUCCACCUGGGGAGUACGGUCGCAAGAUUGAAACUCAAGGAAUUGACGGGGGCCCGCACAAGCGGUGGAGCAUGUGGUUUAAUUCGAUGAUACGCGAGGAACCUUACCAGGGCUUAAAUGUAGAUUGACAGAUUUGGAAACAAGUCCUUCUUCGGACAAUUUACAAGGUGCUGCAUGGUUGUCGUCAGCUCGUGCCGUGAGGUGUUGGGUUAAGUCCCGCAACGAGCGCAACCCCUAUUUCUAGUUGCUAGCAGGUAAUGCUGAGGACUCUAGAGAAACUGCCAGCGCAAGCUGAGAGGAAGGUGGGGAUGACGUCAAAUCAUCACGGCCCUUACGUCCUGGGCCACACACGUGCUACAAUGGCAGGUACAGAGGGCAGCUACCUAGCGAUAGGAUGCGAAUCUCAAAAGCCUGUCUCAGUUCGGAUCGUAGUCUGCAACUCGACUACGUGAAGCUGGAAUCGCUAGUAAUCGCGCAUCAGCCAUGGCGCGGUGAAUACGUUCCCGGGCCUUGUACACACCGCCCGUCAAGCCAUGGAAGCUGGGGGUGCCCGAAGUCGGUAACCGCAAGGAGCUGCCUAGGGCAAAACCAGUAACUGGGGCUAAGUCGUAACAAGGUAGCCGUA
rnacentral:rRNA from 1 species